CCUACGGGUGGCAGCAGUGGGGAAUAUUGCACAAUGGGCGAAAGCCUGAUGCAGCAACGCCACGUGAGCGAUGAAGGCCUUCGGGUCGUAAAGCUCUGUCCUCAAGGAAGAUAAUGACGGUACUUGAGGAGGAAGCCCCGGCUAACUACGUGCCAGCAGCCGCGGUAAUACGUAGUGGGCUAGCGUUAUCCGGAAUUACUGUGCGUAAAGGGUGCGUAGGUGGUUUCUUAAGUCAGAGGUGAAAGGCUACGGGUAAAACGUAGUAAGCCUUUGAAACUGGGGAACUUGAGUGCAGAAGAGGAGAGUGGAAUUCCUAGUGUAGCGGUGAAAUGCGUAGAUAUUAGGAGGAACACCAGUUGCGAAGGCGGCUCUCUGGACUGUAACUGACACUGAGGCACGAAAGCGUGGGGAGCAAACAGGAUUAGAUACCCGUGUAGUC
rnacentral:rRNA from 1 species